rnacentral:rRNA from 1 species
AAACUUAAAUGAAGUUGACGGGGCCCGCACAAGCGGAGGAACAUGUGGUUUAAUUCGAUGAUACGCGAGGAACCUUACCUGGGCUUAAAUGUAGAGUGCAUUUUUUAGAGAUAGAAAUUCCCUUCGGGGCUUUCUGCAAGGUGCUGCAUGGUUGUCGUCAGCUCGUGCCGUGAGGUGUCGGGUUAAGUCCCAUAACGAGCGCAACCCUUAUCGUUAGUUGCCAUCUGGUAAUGCAGGGGACUCUAGCGAAACUGCCACCGUAAGGUGAGAGGAAGGUGGGGAUGACGUCAAAUCAGCACGGCCCUUAUGUCCAGGGCUACACACGUGUUACAAUGGUCGGUACAGAGGGCAGCUACCUGGUGACAGGAUGCUAAUCUCGAAAACCGGUCUCAGUUCGGAUCGGAGUCUGCAACUCGACUCCGUGAAGCUGGAUUCGCUAGUAAUCGGAUAUCAGCAAUGAUCCGGUGAAUACGUUCCCGGGCCUU